UACGGGGGGGGCAAGCGUUGUUCGGAAUUACUGGGCGUAAAGGGCUCGUAGGCGGCCAACUAAGUCAGACGUGAAAUCCCUCGGCUUAACCGGGGAACUGCGUCUGAUACUGGAUGGCCUGAGAUUGGGAGAGGGAUGCGGAAUUCCAGGUGUAGCGGUGAAAUGCGUAGAUAUCUGGAGGAACACCGGUGGCGAAGGCGGCAUCCUGGACCAACACUGACGCUGAGGAGCGAAAGCCAGGGGAGCAAACGGG
rnacentral:rRNA from 1 species